GGAAAAAUAGAGAAAAUGUUCUCCUUUUCAGAAUCCCAUGGACCUUUCUCUUUCAACUUUCCCAAAAUACACCGUAACCAAAGGACCCAUCUUCUUCACCUCUCUCAUCCAUUAUCCCAAACAAGAAACCCUAAAAUUUUAUAGCAGCCGUGUGUUGCCAUUUCUGCCGAGAUUCCCUUAUUUUCAUCCUCGCAACUUGUGAUUCAAAUACUAUCAAUGAAAUAGACCCAAAUCAGUGCAACAAAGAUCAUUUUCAAGUCUGCAAAGCCUGAGAAUCAUACAAAUUUGAGAAGGGAUUUGUCCCUUUCAGUUUUUGAAUUUGAAUUUCUCAUUCUUAUCCAAAUCGUUGGUUUCCAUGAUAUAUUGGAUUCAAAUCCGGAUUUUCCUAUAAAUACCCAAAUUUUUAUAUGUUUUAGGGGAGAGUUUUGGAGGGAAAGAAAAAAAAAGGAGAGAAAGAAAAAAAAAAGAGUUCAAAAAAAUAGGGUGAACACUAAAAUCCGCAAAAAAAGUCACAAAAUCUCUAUUCUAUUUCGUUGGUUUUUCGAGUAUCGGAGUUCGAGUUCUUCGCCGGAAUCUUGACACCAAACCCCAGGCUUGCUGUCCCACAAAAGUGUGCAAGUACAGAUAUCAGUAGAGGUUAUCUUGUGGUCCUUCGGGAUCAUGAGCACCGUGUGAUGUUCUGAUUCCAGAAAAUCGGGUCAUUACAACCACCUUAUGAGCGAAGAAGAAAAAUAGAUGCAAUAUUGGGGGUAAAAGUUAAAUCCUCCAGUUAAAGGAAAAAAUUAAUGUGGGUCGUGCCACGACACUAAAUCAGGCGCUGAUUAGGAGGCAAACCAAGUUAAGAUGCUUGCUGAGUUGAUUAUGAGUAUAUAUAAAUGAUAUACAAUCUGGAAAUCAAGUGGAAACAAUACCACAAUGCUGGUAAUGGAUCAACAGAAGUACAAGACACAACUUGACAUAAAAUGGACACUUUGGACAUCACCAGCACGUGUAGGACCUUAGCAGGGGUGGCGGAGCGAAUUAAAUGAAUAUAAAGCUUCCUAAGGGGCCAAAAAUAGUGCAACCUAUGAGCCCACUGCUCAACCCCUAUCCCUGUGAAAUGACCCCCGUGACGUGACCCUUGUUCCACCGACGGCAAAAAUCCUUGUCCUAUAAAUAAGACUCUUGUACUUGUUUUUAUACACCUUGGACGUCUUUGAUACUUGGAGAGGGGAUAUAAAACAUUUAAAAUAGGGUUUUUAUUCUUCUACUUUAGUUUAUUUAUGGAUUAUUUCAUGUAUUCAUUCACCGUGUU